rnacentral:rRNA from 1 species
UACGUAGGGUGCGAGCGUUUGUCCGGAAUUAUUGGGCGUAAAGGGCUCGUAGGCGGUUUGUCGCGUCGGGAGUGAAAACCCAGGGCUUAACCCUGGGCUGGCUUCCGAUACGGGCAGACUAGAGGUAUGCAGGGGGAGAACGGAAUUCCUGGUGUAGCGGUGAAAUGCGCAGAUAUCAGGAGGAACACCAGCGGCGAAGGCGGCGCUCUGGGCCGGUACUGACGCUGAGGAGCGAAAGCGUGGGGAUCAAACAGG